UAGCAUUCAGGACUAGUACAUUAAUGGUAUGAUCUUCCUGCUGAAAGUGAAUCAAUGUACAUAUUGCGGAGCAAGUGCCUGAAACAUCUUCUAUACAUGAUAAUACAUCUGCCCCUACAGUAAUCAGCUGGGCAAUCAGGUGGGUGGCUUUACCAGCUGGCAGUCACAUCCCUGGGAUGAUGUGGAUUGAGAGUCUGUCACUUCCUGUCACCUUGUGGCACAAGAUUUAAC